UGGGGAAUCUUGCACAAUGGGCGCAAGCCUGAUGCAGCAACGCCGCGUGAGUGAAGAAGGUUUUUGGAUUGUAAAGCUCUUUCGGCUAGGAAGAAGGGUCUACGGGUUAAUACCUCGAAGAUUUGACGGUACUAGAAGAAGAAGCACCGGCUAAUUCCGUGCCAGCAGCCGCGGUAAUACGGAAGGUGCGAGCGUUGUUCGGAAUGACUGGGCGUAAAGCGCAUGUAGGCGGGUUUAUAAGCCGGAUGUGAAAUCCCUGGGCUCAACCCAGGAACUGCACCCGGAACUGUAGAUCUUGAAUGCUUGAGGGGUUGGUAGAAUUUCUGGUGUAGGAGUGAAAUCCGUAGAUAUCAGAAGGAAGACCGGAGGCGAAGGCGGCCAACUGGCAAUGCAUUGACGCUGAGAUGCGAAAGCGUGGGGAGCAAACAGG
rnacentral:rRNA from 1 species